UACAGAGGUCCCAAGCGUUGUUCGGAUUCACUGGGCGUAAAGGGUGCGUAGGUGGCCAGGUAAGUUCGGUGUGAAAGCUCGGAGCUUAACUCCGAAAUGUCAUUGAAUACUAUCUGGCUAGAGGGUCGGAGGGGAGACUGGAAUUCUCGGUGUAGCAGUGAAAUGCGUAGAUAUCAGGAGGAACACCGGUGGCGAAGGCGGCUUUCUGGACGACAACUGACGCUGAGACGCGAAAGCGUGGGGAGCAAACAGG
rnacentral:rRNA from 1 species